UACGAAGGGGGCUAGCGUUGCUCGGAAUCACUGGGCGUAAAGGGUGCGUAGGCGGGUCUUUAAGUCAGGGGUGAAAUCCUGGAGCUCAACUCCCAGAACUGCCUUUGAUACUGAGGAUCUUGAGUCCGGGGAGAGGUGAGGUGGAACUGCGAGUGUAGAGGUGAAAUUCGUAGAUAUUCGAAGAACACCAGUGGCGAAGGCGGACUCACUGGCCCG
rnacentral:rRNA from 1 species